rnacentral:rRNA from 1 species
GAGUUUGAUCCUGGCUCAGAGCGAACGCUGGCGGCGAGGACCUAAACAUGCAAGUCGAACGCCGUAGCAAUACGGAGUGGCAGACGGGUGAGUAACACGUGGGAACGUGCCUUUUGGUUCGGAACAACACAGGGAAACUUGUGCUAAUACCGGAUAAGCCCUUACGGGGAAAGAUUUAUCGACCAAAAGAUCGGCCCGCGUCUGAUUAGCUAGUUGGUGGGGUAACGGCCCACCAAGGCUACGAUCAGUAGCUGGUCUGAGAGGAUGAUCAGCCACACUGGGACUGAGACACGGCCCAGACUCCUACGGGAGGCAGCAGUUAGGAAUCUUGGACAAUGGGCGCAAGCCUGAUCCAGCCAUGCCGCGUGAGUGAUGAAGGCCUUAGGGUUGUAAAGC